rnacentral:rRNA from 1 species
GAUGAACGCUGGCGGCGUGCCUAAUACAUGCAAGUCGAGCGAAUGGAUUAAGAGCUUGCUCUUAUGAAGUUAGCGGCGGACGGGUGAGUAACACGUGGGUAACCUGCCCAUGAGACUGGGAUAACUCCGGGAAACCGGGGCUAAUACCGGAUAAUAUUUUGAACUGCAUGGUUCAAAAUUGAAAGGCGGCUUCGGCUGUCACUUAUGGAUGGACCCGCGUCGCAUUAGCUAGUUGGUGAGGUAACGGCUCACCAAGGCAACGAUGCGUAGCCGGCCUCAGCGGGUGGUCGGCCACACUGGGACUGCGACACGGCCCAGACUCCUACGGGAGGCAGCAGUAGGGAAUCUUCCGCAAUGGACGAAAGUCUGACGGAGCAACGCCGCGUGAGUGAUGAAGGCUUUCGGGUCGUAAAACUCUGUUGUUAGGGAAGAACAAGUGCUAGUUGAAUAAGCUGGCACCUUGCCGGUACCUAACCAGAAAGCCACGGCUAACUACGUGCCAGCCGCCGCAGUAA